rnacentral:rRNA from 1 species
UUGGCUUAGAAGCAGCCAUCAUUUAAAGAGUGCGUAAUAGCUCACUAGUCGAGUGACACUGCGCCGAAAAUGUACCGGGGCUAAACAUAUUACCGAAGCUGUGGAUUGUCCUUUGGACAAUGGUAGGAGAGCGUUCUAAGGGCGUUGAAGCAUGAUCGCAAGGACAUGUGGAGCGCUUAGAAGUGAGAAUGCCGGUGUGAGUAGCGAAAGACGGGUGAGAAUCCCGUCCACCGAUUGACUAAGGUUUCCAGAGGAAGGCUCGUCCGCUCUGGGUUAGUCGGGUCCUAAGCUGAGGCCGACAGGCGUAGGCGAUGGAUAACAGGUUGAUAUUCCUGUACCACCAUUAUUCGUUUUAAGCGAUGGGGGGACGCAGUAGGAUAGGCGAAGCGUGCUGUUGGAGUGCACGUCCAAGCAGUGAGAUUGAGUGUUAGGCAAAUCCGGCACUCUUAAGAUUGAGCUGUGAUGGGGAGAGGAACUUGUUCCUCGAGUCGUUGAUUUCACACUGCCGAGAAAAGCCUCUAGCUAGAAUAACGGUGCCCGUACCGCAAACCGACACAGGUAGUCAAGAUGAGAAUUCUAAGGUGAGCGAGCGAACUCUCGUUAAGGAACUCGGCAAAAUGACCCCGUAACUUCGGGAGAAGGGGUGCUCUUUGAGGUUCACGCUUCGAAGAGCCGCAGUGAAUAGGCCCAAGCGACUGUUUAUCAAAAACACAGGUCUCUGCUAAACCGUAAGGUGACGUAUAGGGGCUGACGCCUGCCCGGUGCUGGAAGGUUAAGAGGAGUGGUUAGCGCAAGCGAAGCUACGAAUCGAAGCCCCAGUAAACGGCGGCCGUAACUAUAACGGUCCUAAGGUAGCGAAAUUCCUUGUCGGGUAAGUUCCGACCCGCACGAAAGGCGUAACGAUUUGGGCACUGUCUCAACGAGAGACUCGGUGAAAUCAUAGUACCGGUGAAGAUGCCGGUUACCCGCGACAGGACGGAAAGACCCCGUGGAGCUUUACUGUAGCCUGAUAUUGAAAUUCGGUACAGUUUGUACAGGAUAGGUAGGAGCCUUAGAAGCGUGAGCGCUAGCUUACGUGGAGGCAUUGGUGGGAUACUACCCUAAUUGUAUUGGAUUUCUAACCCGCAGCACUUAUCGUGCUGGGAGACAGUGUCAGGCGGGCAGUUUGACUGGGGCGGUCGCCUCCUAAAGAGUAACGGAGGCGCUCAAAGGUUCCCUCAGAAUGGUUGGAAAUCAUUCAUAGAGUGUAAAGGCAUAAGGGAGCUUGACUGCGAGACCUACAAGUCGAGCAGGGUCGAAAGACGGACUUAGUGAUCCGGUGGUUCCGCAUGGAAGGGCCAUCGCUCAACGGAUAAAAGCUACCCCGGGGAUAACAGGCUUAUCUCCCCCAAGAGUUCACAUCGACGGGGAGGUUUGGCACCUCGAUGUCGGCUCAUCGCAUCCUGGGGCUGUAGUCGGUCCCAAGGGUUGGGCUGUUCGCCCAUUAAAGCGGUACGCGAGCUGGGUUCAGAACGUCGUGAGACAGUUCGGUCCCUAUCCGUCGUGGGCGUAGGAAAUUUGAGAGGAGCUGUCCUUAGUACGAGAGGACCGGGAUGGACAUACCUCUGGUGUACCAGUUGUCGUGCCAACGGCAUAGCUGGGUAGCUAUGUAUGGACGGGAUAAGUGCUGAAAGCAUCUAAGCAUGAAGCCCCCCUCGAGAUGAGAUUUCCCAACUUC